UUAUAUUAUAUUAUAUUAUUUAAUUUCUCUCUUUGCCUAUUCGGUCUUGGGAGGUUUCCUUUUCCAAACCUUCAUUUCACCUACUCAAGAAUCAAGGUAGAUAUACUUACUCUCCCAAUCUCGCACGUCUCUGCAGAUUCUAAUCAAUUCCGGGACGAGCAAAAACAAAGGGUGAAAGAUUCGUUUUGAUUCGCGCACCAUAUUCUCAUCGCUGGUAGUGUUUCCGCAUCUUCGUGCUCAAACGCCCUAAAUUUUAUUAUUUCAGUGUUUGCAUGCUUGGUUAGUGAUUUUUCAGGUUUUAUUCUGCAAGAGAGUCAAAAAGCUAAUACUAGCUUUAAUCGGUUUGCUCAUAUGGUUUCUUAAUUUGCUUCCCCUGUUUCUUUCUUUUCUCCAGUGCUUUUCUCAAUUUUUUGGGGUCCAUUCUCAUAUUCACCCUAAUGCUUUUACUUCCAAUAAGCAAAUGAUAACAUGUUGGAUAUUAAGGCUGAAAUGCUCGGUUCUGUUUUCGUUGAGUAUAUAUAAGAUAUUCUACAACUAUAUACAUUCUCAUGUUUCUAAUAAAUGUAAGCCUUGUUAAUGUGAAUUCAAGCCAAAUCUAUUACAUGAUGUUAUUUUGCUACAUUAUGGUUUGAAGAGCAAGUGAAUUGGAUUUGUUUUUUUAGAAUUUCCUUUAACUUUGUUCUAUAAUUAAGGACUAUGAUGUAUUUGGCUAGCCUUGACCUGUGUUGAAUGUUUAUCCCUCUGUUUUGAUGCUUUGUUAAUUGGCCUUAUUUUUUCUUGGUGGGCAUGGUUGAACUCCCUCGAUUUGAAAAUCUAAUACAAUCAUAACAAGAGACAUGUUUCUUGUUAUAGUUUUGUAGGAUUUCCAAUCCUUUUAUGCUUGGAAAUCUUACUGAUAAUUUGUCGUGAGGCGUAGCCAAGGUUCUAAUUGUUAAUAUAUUCCCAUAUAAUAUUUUUUAGCUACUGCUUAGAAUAUCCCUUUUCUGGUUUUUGCUUCCAAUAUUGGAUUAAUUGUCUGUCUAGCCUUUGUAUUAGUUGUCCUGUUCUCAAUACCAAUUGGGGUAGUGGAGAGAAUAGAGGGAUGCAUGAGGAGGUUUCAUUGGGUAUGGGAUGCCGAGGUCCAUAUGGGUAACUUAGUCAAUUGGGGAGAUCUUAUAUCAGUCCAGAGGUGAUGGAGAGUUGGGUUUAAGGAAUCUAUGAUCCAAAAGUAUAUUUCUGUUAGCUAAGUGGCUUUGGUGUUUUCCUUUUGAACCUAGCUCUUAUGCACAGAGUGAUCAGCAGCAGCAGCCAUAGGGGCUGCAGGAACGAAUUGG
rnacentral:lncRNA from 1 species